rnacentral:rRNA from 1 species
CCUACGGGAGGCAGCAGUGAGGAAUAUUGGUCAAUGGGCGAGAGCCUGAACCAGCCAAGUCGCGCGAGGGAGUACUGCCCUAUGGGUUGUAAACCUCUUUUGUCGGGGAGCAAAAGCCGGACGUGUCCUGCUGUUAGAGUGCCCGAAUAAAAAGCAUCGGCUACCACCGUGCCAGCAGCCGCGGAAAUACGGAGGAUGCGAUCGUUAUCCGGAUUUAUUGGGUUUAAAGGGGGCGCAGGCGGAUUUUUAGUUCAGCGGUAAAAUCGUGGGGCUCCACCGCAGCCAGCCGUGGAAACUGGGGAUCUAGAGUGUGAGAGAGGUAUGCGGAAUGCGUGGUGUAGCGGUGAAAUGCAUAGAUAUCACGCAGAACCCCGAUUGCGAAGGCAGCAUACCGGUGCACAACUGACGCUCAGGCACGAAAGCGUGGGUAUCGAACAGGAUUAGAUACCCCAGUAGUC